AGAGUUUGAUCCUGGCUCAGGAUGAACGCUAGCGGCAGGCCUAACACAUGCAAGUCGAGGGGCAGCGGGAGUGCUUGCACUCGCCGGCGACCGGCGCACGGGUGCGGAACGCGUAUCGAAUCUGCCUCUAUCUGGGGGAUACCCCAUGGAAACGUGGAAUAAUACCCCAUAGUAUUACUUUAUCGCAUGAUUUAGUAAUUAAAGAAUUUCGGAUAGAGAUGACGAUGCGUAUCAUUAGCUAGUAGGUAAGGUAACGGCUUACCUAGGCAACGAUGAUUAGGGGUCCUGAGAGGGAGAUCCCCCACACUGGUACUGAGACACGGACCAGACUCCUACGGGAGGCAGCAGUGAGGAAUAUUGGACAAUGGUCGAAAGACUGAUCCAGCCAUGCCGCGUGCAGGAUGACUGCCCUAUGGGUUGUAAACUGCUUUUAUACGGGAAGAAAAACACCUACGUGUAGGUGACUGACGGUACCGUAAGAAUAAGGACCGGCUAACUCCGUGCCAGCAGCCGCAGUAAUACGGAGGGUCCAAGCGUUAUCCGGAAUCAUUGGGUUUAAAGGGUCCGUAGGCGGGCUAUUAAGUCAGAGGUGAAAGUUUGCAGCUCAACUGUAAAAUUGCCUUUGAUACUGAUAGUCUUGAAUUGUAGUGAAGUGGUUAGAAUAUGUGGUGUAGCAGUGAAAUGCAUAGAUAUCACAUAGAAUACCGAUUGCGAAGGCAGAUCACUAACUAUAUAUUGACGCUGAGGGACGAAAGCGUGGGGAGCGAACGGGAUUAGAUACCCCGGUAGUCCACGCCGUAAACGAUGGAUACUAGCUGUUGGAUUUUUUCAGUGGCUAAGCGAAAGUGAUAAGUAUCCCACCUGGGGAGUACGUUCGCAAGAAUGAAACUCAAAGGAAUUGACGG
rnacentral:rRNA from 1 species